rnacentral:rRNA from 1 species
AUGAAUCGUACGCACGAACGAGCGAAGCCUGCGUGCCCUCGAGCGAGAGCCACCCUCGCACAUCAAGCCGCCGCCGAUCCAUCCCUUCGCCGCCGCCCUCGCCCAUCAAACCGCCGCCGAUCCAUCCCUUCGCCGCCGCCCUCGCCCAUCAAGCCGCCGUCGAUCCCUGGCUACUUCGAUGGGAGCCAUCGAUCUUCUUCAGGAGACGGCGCCGAUCCCGUUGAGGAGCCGCCGCCGACCACGUCCAGGAUCCGACACCGAUCCCCUUCAGGAGCCGACGCCGAUCCCCUUCAGGAGCCGACGCCGAUCCCCUGA